rnacentral:rRNA from 1 species
UUAAGCGACUAAGCGUACACGGUGGAUGCCCUGGCAGUCAGAGGCGAUGAAGGACGUGCUAAUCUGCGAUAAGCGUCGGUGAGGUGAUAUGAACCGUUAUAACCGGCGAUUUCCGAAUGGGGAAACCCAGUGUGUUUCGACACACUAUCAUUAACUGAAUCCAUAGGUUAAUGAGGCGAACCGGGGGAACUGAAACAUCUAAGUACCCCGAGGAAAAGAAAUCAACCGAGAUUCCCCCAGUAGCGGCGAGCGAACGGGGAGGAGCCCAGAGCCUGAAUCAGUGUGUGUGUUAGUGGAAGCGUCUGGAAAGGCGCGCGAUACAGGGUGACAGCCCCGUACACAAAAAUGCACAUAUUGUGAGCUCGAUGAGUAGGGCGGGACACGUGGUAUCCUGUCUGAAUAUGGGGGGACCAUCCUCCAAGGCUAAAUACUCCUGACUGACCGAUAGUGAACCAGUACCGUGAGGGAAAGGCGAAAAGAACCCCGGCGAGGGGAGUGAAAAAGAACCUGAAACCGUGUACGUACAAGCAGUGGGAGCCUCUUAAUGGGGUGACUGCGUACCUUUUGUAUAAUGGGUCAGCGACUUAUAUUCUGUAGCAAGGUUAACCGAAUAGGGGAGCCGAAGGGAAACCGAGUCUUAACUGGGCGUUAAGUUGCAGGGUAUAGACCCGAAACCCGGUGAUCUAGCCAUGGGCAGGUUGAAGGUUGGGUAACACUAACUGGAGGACCGAACCGACUAAUGUUGAAAAAUUAGCGGAUGACUUGUGGCUGGGGGUGAAAGGCCAAUCAAACCGGGAGAUAGCUGGUUCUCCCCGAAAGCUAUUUAGGUAGCGCCUCGUGAAUUCAUCUCCGGGGGUAGAGCACUGUUUCGGCAAGGGGGUCAUCCCGACUUACCAACCCGAUGCAAACUGCGAAUACCGGAGAAUGUUAUCACGGGAGACACACGGCGGGUGCUAACGUCCGUCGUGAAGAGGGAAACAACCCAGACCGCCAGCUAAGGUCCCAAAGUCAUGGUUAAGUGGGAAACGAUGUGGGAAGGCCCAGACAGCCAGGAUGUUGGCUUAGAAGCAGCCAUCAUUUAAAGAAAGCGUAAUAGCUCACUGGUCGAGUCGGCCUGCGCGGAAGAUGUAACGGGGCUAAACCAUGCACCGAAGCUGCGGCAGCGACACUAUGUGUUGUUGGGUAGGGGAGCGUUCUGUAAGCCUGUGAAGGUGGCCUGUGAGGGUUGCUGGAGGUAUCAGAAGUGCGAAUGCUGACAUAAGUAACGAUAAAGCGGGUGAAAAGCCCGCUCGCCGGAAGACCAAGGGUUCCUGUCCAACGUUAAUCGGGGCAGGGUGAGUCGACCCCUAAGGCGAGGCCGAAAGGCGUAGUCGAUGGGAAACAGGUUAAUAUUCCUGUACUUGGUGUUACUGCGAAGGGGGGACGGAGAAGGCUAUGUUGGCCGGGCGACGGUUGUCCCGGUUUAAGCGUGUAGGCUGGUUUUCCAGGCAAAUCCGGAAAAUCAAGGCUGAGGCGUGAUGACGAGGCACUACGGUGCUGAAGCGACAAAUGCCCUGCUUCCAGGAAAAGCCUCUAAGCAUCAGGUAACAUCAAAUCGUACCCCAAACCGACACAGGUGGUCAGGUAGAGAAUACCAAGGCGCUUGAGAGAACUCGGGUGAAGGAACUAGGCAAAAUGGUGCCGCAACUUCGGGAGAAGGCACGCUGAUAUGUAGGUGAAGCGACUUGCUCGUGGAGCUGAAAUCAGUCGAAGAUACCAGCUGGCUGCAACUGUUUAUUAAAAACACAGCACUGUGCAAACACGAAAGUGGACGUAUACGGUGUGACGCCUGCCCGGUGCCGGAAGGUUAAUUGAUGGGGUUAGCGGUAACGCGAAGCUCUUGAUCGAAGCCCCGGUAAACGGCGGCCGUAACUAUAACGGUCCUAAGGUAGCGAAAUUCCUUGUCGGGUAAGUUCCGACCUGCACGAAUGGCGUAAUGAUGGCCAGGCUGUCUCCACCCGAGACUCAGUGAAAUUGAACUCGCUGUGAAGAUGCAGUGUACCCGCGGCAAGACGGAAAGACCCCGUGAACCUUUACUAUAGCUUGACACUGAACAUUGAGCCUUGAUGUGUAGGAUAGGUGGGAGGCUUUGAAGUGUGGACGCCAGUCUGCAUGGAGCCGCCUUGAAAUACCACCCUUUAAUGUUUGAUGUUCUAACGUUGGCCCGUAAUCCGGGUUGCGGACAGUGUCUGGUGGGUAGUUUGACUGGGGCGGUCUCCUCCUAAAGAGUAACGGAGGAGCACGAAGGUUGGCUAAUCCUGGUCGGACAUCAGGAGGUUAGUGCAAUGGCAUAAGCCAGCUUGACUGCGAGCGUGACGGCGCGAGCAGGUGCGAAAGCAGGUCAUAGUGAUCCGGUGGUUCUGAAUGGAAGGGCCAUCGCUCAACGGAUAAAAGGUACUCCGGGGAUAACAGGCUGAUACCGCCCAAGAGUUCAUAUCGACGGCGGUGUUUGGCACCUCGAUGUCGGCUCAUCACAUCCUGGGGCUGAAGUAGGUCCCAAGGGUAUGGCUGUUCGCCAUUUAAAGUGGUACGCGAGCUGGGUUUAGAACGUCGUGAGACAGUUCGGUCCCUAUCUGCCGUGGGCGCUGGAGAACUGAGGGGGGCUGCUCCUAGUACGAGAGGACCGGAGUGGACGCAUCACUGGUGUUCGGGUUGUCAUGCCAAUGGCACUGCCCGGUAGCUAAAUGCGGAAGAGAUAAGUGCUGAAAGCAUCUAAGCACGAAACUUGCCCCGAGAUGAGUUCUCCCUGACCCUUUAAGGGUCCUGAAGGAACGUUGAAGACGACGACGUUGAUAGGCCGGGUGUGUAAGCGCAGCGAUGCGUUGAGCUAACCGGUACUAAUGAACCGUGAGGCUUAACCUU